AACGCAUCUUGCGCUCCUUGGUAUUCCGAGGAGCAUGCCUGUUUGAGUGUCAUUAUAUUCUCAACUCUCCAAUACUUUGUUGUAAAGGAGAGCUUGGUUUGCGGAGGUUUGCUGGCUCCUUACUUGGGGCCAGCUCCUCUGAAAUGCAUUAGCGGAAUCGUCUGCGAUCUGCCACAAGUGUGAUAACUUAUCUACACUGGCGAGGGGAUUGCUUUCUGAUGUUCAGCUUCUAAUCGUCUAAGGACAAUUUCUUGAAUGCUUGACCUCAAAUCAGGUAGGACUACCCGCUGAACUUAA
rnacentral:misc_RNA from 1 species